rnacentral:rRNA from 1 species
GACGAACGCUGGCGGCGUGCUUAACACAUGCAAGUCGAACGGAAAGGCCCUGCUUUUGUGGGGUGCUCGAGUGGCGAACGGGUGAGUAACACGUGAGUAACCUGCCCUUGACUUUGGGAUAACUUCAGGAAACUGGGGCUAAUACCGGAUAGGAGCUCCUGCUGCAUGGUGGGGGGUGGAAAUUUUCGGCGGUUGGGGAUGGACUCGCGGCUUAUCAGCUUGUUGGUGGGGUAGUGGCUUACCAAGGCUGUGACGGGUAGCCGGCAUGAGAGGGUGACCGGCCACAUUGGGACUGAGAUACGGCCCAGACUCCUACGGGAGGCAGCAGUGGGGAAUAUUGCACAAUGGGCGGAAGCCUGAUGCAGCAACGCCGCGUGCGGGAUGACGGCCUUCGGGUUGUAAACCGCUUUCGCCUGUGACGAAGCGUGAGUGACGGUAAUGGGUAAAGAAGCACCGGCUAACUACGUG